rnacentral:rRNA from 1 species
CGCGUAGGCGGUCUUGCAAGUCAGGGGUGAAAUCCCGGAGCUUAACUCCGGAAUUGCUUUUGAUACUGUGAGGCUAGAGUGUAUUAGAGGAUGGCGGAAUUCCUAGUGUAGUGGUGAAAUACGUAGAUAUUAGGAAGAACACCGGUGGCGAAGGCGGCCAUCUGGGAUACAACUGACGCUGAGGCGCGAAAGCGUGGGGAUCAAACA